rnacentral:tRNA from 1 species
GCGCUUGUAACUCAAUUGGAUCAGAGUUCAGAUCUUCUAAAUCUGAUGUUGUGGGUUCGAGUCCCGCCAGGCGCG